CGGGACGUGGCGCAGUCUGGUAGCGCGCUUGACUGGGGGUCAAGAGGUCGCAGGUUCAAUUCCUGUCGUCCCGACUA
rnacentral:tRNA from 1 species